GGGCGCUUAACUCAGUUGGUAGAGAGUCUGCCUUACAAGCAGAAUGUCGGCGGUUCGAUCCCGUCAGCGCCCACCA
rnacentral:tRNA from 1 species